rnacentral:rRNA from 1 species
CCUACGGGAGGCAGCAGUAAGGAAUAUUGGUCAAUGGUGGCAACACUGAACCAGCCAUGCCGCGUGCAGGAUGAAGGUUCUAUGAAUUGUAAACUGCUUUUAUACGGGAAAAAACUUUCGAACGUGUUUGGAACUGAUGGUACCGUAAGAAUAAGGAUCGGCUAACUUCGUGCCAGCAGCCGCGGUAAGACGAAGGAUCCAAGCGUUAUCCGGAUUUAUUGGGUUUAAAGGGUGCGUAGGUGGACUUGUAAGUCAGUGGUGAAAGCCCGAUGCUUAACAUCGGAACUGCCAUUGAUACUGCAAGUCUUGAAUAUGUUUGAAGUGGGCGGAAUGUGUCGUGUAGCGGUGAAAUGCUUAGAUAUGACACAGAACACCGAUUGCGAAGGCAGCUCACUAAACCAUUAUUGACACUGAGGCACGAAAGCGUGGGGAGCAAACAGGAUUAGAUACCCUGGUAGUCCACGCCCUAAACGUUGAAUACUCGAUAUGUGCGAUACACUGUACGUGUCCAAGAGAAAUCGUUAAGUAUUCCACCUGGGGAGUACGCUCGCAAGAGUGAAACUCGAAAGUAGUAGUACGACGNGAGAGAGACGACGACGACGACGACGGAGGGAGGAGG